rnacentral:rRNA from 1 species
UACGAAGGGUGCUAGCGUUGUUCAGAAUUACUGGGCGUAAAGCGCGCGUAGGCGGCUAUUCAAGUCAGGGGUGAAAUCCUUGGGCUCAACCCAAGAAUUGCCUUUGAAACUGUAUAGCUGGAGUGUCGGAGGGGAUAGCGGAAUUCCUAAUGUAGAGGUGAAAUUCGUAGAUAUUAGGAGGAACACCGGUGGCGAAGGCGGCUAUCUGGACGACAACUGACGCUGAGGCGCGAAAGCACGGGGAUCAAACAGG